AGGCUGAGGAGUUGAUUUAUGAUGUUUAUUUGUCCCUCAAGAAGAAACUAACAGAUUUGAGCUGGAGGGACGACAGAUCAUCAGCCUUUAUUUUGAAUAAGGUAUGUUGUGAAUCAUAUACAAAACCAUAUCCUACUGAAACUGUGUAUGGAUUAUUGUUCAGAUAAUUUUGUAUAUUUUUCAGAUAAAAUCUCUUAAUCCAAGACUCUCCGCUAAAACAAAUAACCUCAAUCAUGCAGAACUCAACCAUCUCUAUGCAGAGGUGGUUUUGAGCGAGGAGGAUUUUUUCUCCAACUACCUGCAGAUGCUGGUGCUGGAGCAGAAGAGCAGGAGCAGACUGCUCUCACACGGCACACAGACUGAAGGUUUGUCUGUCACUCCAUCCAUCUCUGGUAUUGACAUCAUCAUCCCUGUUGGAAUGUUUGUGUCACCCUUCUUCCAUUCCUCAUAUCCCAGGGCACUGAAUUAUGGCACACUGGGAUCUCUGAUGGCUAAAGAUCUACUCCACCUUCUGCUCCCUGAUAUCCACAUGCAGGCCAACAAUCCAGAGUCAGACAGCAUGUGCAUAUGGUCCCAUUAUCUGAGUGUGACCAGGGAUCCAGGACGGGUCGGCACAUUCUCUCUUCCCCCCUCUAAACAGCAGGAGGUUUGGGUGCAGUACUCUGCUCUACAAGUGGCACUGGAUGCUUAUAAAAUGAGUUUCACAAGGCAUCCAGCAGACUCAUCUCUAUCAGGCCUCUCUUACCUUCACCUGUUACUCUCCUCCUUUACAAAGGUAACGUGUGACGCUGACUCCUACCAUGAGUUCAUGCCCUUUGAACCUUCCUUCCUGGUGACAGUCCUGUGUUCAAACUCCGGCUUCUGCCCCAAAACGCUGACCUGUGUGAAUAAAUCUCAGAGUUAUCCUCGUGAGAUGUGUCAGAGUCGAACGCUGCACUGAAUCUGGGAGGAACUCAUGUCUGCUGAGACCUUUUGGAGCUUGUUUGGGACUAUUGAACCAUUGGAGCUGCUCACUGUUUAGUAAAAGAAGGUCAUUCCAGAGAUCAUAAAGCUUUUUAUAUUCACUUGUUAAGUAAUGGGUUUAGAAAAGUCACAUAUACAUACAUUUAAGCAAUAUUAUCACAUUUGAUAAAUCAUGUACAGAAUGAUGAACAGUUAAAGCCUGCUUGGUGGAUGUGUUCUCUCACAGCACUUAGAAAAUUGACCAUGCUUUUACUAUAGUAUUGAAUUUUGGGGGAAAUGUUGAUUCAUACAAAAUAAUAUUUUUGGGAAGGGAGGGAAUCUCAUACAUUUUUUUUUUAACUACAACUAGCAUAGUUUGUUUACAGAGUUACACUGGUUUACAUGUGGUUACUGUAAAUACCACAGUUAAACUGGUUACUAUACAAGAUUUAUGGUAAAUUUGUACCAAGGAAGGAGAGCAUUUCACCAAGUAAAAGUGAUUCCAGUUGUAAUUCAUUAAUGAUGGAUAAUUGUGCUCUUUAUUCUCUCUAUUGUAAAUACAGUUUGAUGUCUAAAGUCUGAAUGUAUCAUGAAUGCCACUCUUAUUUUUGAAAUGUAUUAUAUUUGGAUGAAACAUUAAAAAAAAAGUAUUUUUUGCAUGUGUGCUUUUUGGUCUGUAGUCAAGGAAUUUCAUACAUAUAACAU
ensembl:lncRNA